AUGAUGGACUAUAGGACAGGACUGCUGCUUUCAACUGCCUGCUGGGCAGGUGUUGAUGGUCAGACUCUGACAGAAUCUGAACCAGUGGUUAAAAGGCCUGGAGAAUCUCACAGAUUGACCUGUACAGCCUCUGGAUUCACAUUCAGUGGCUACUAUAUGCACUGGAUCAGACAGGCUCCUGGAAAAGGACUGGAGUGGAUUGCUUAUAUCAGUCAGCUUAGUGGUAGCGACAAAUACUACUCUCAGUCAGUCCAAGGCCGGUUUACCAUCUCCAGAGACGACAGCAGACAGCAGGUGUAUCUGCAGAUGAACAGUCUGAAGACUGAAGAUUCUGCUGUUUAUUAUUGUGCUCAACACUCACUGGAGUUGGUUGAGCAGCUUAACUGGAAUUAAAUCUAUUGAA